rnacentral:rRNA from 1 species
AGUGAACGCUGGCGGUAGGCCUAACACAUGCAAGUCGAACGGCAGCACAGUAAGAGCUUGCUCUUACGGGUGGCGAGUGGCGGACGGGUGAGGAAUACAUCGGCAUCUACUUUUUCGUGGGGGAUAACGUAGGGAAACUUACGCUAAUACCGCAUACGACCUACGGGUGAAAGCAGGGGAUCUUCGGACCUUGCGCGAUUGAAUGAGCCGAUGUCGGAUUAGCUAGUUGGCGGGGUAAAGGCUCACCAAGGCGACGAUCCGUAGCUGGUCUGAGAGGAUGAUCAGCCACACUGGAACUGAGACACGGUCCAGACUCCUACGGGAGGCAGCAGUGGGGAAUAUUGGACAAAGGGCGCAAGCCUGAUCCAGCCAUACCGCGUGGGUGAAGAAGGCCUUCGGGUUGUAAAGCCCUUUUGUUGGGAAAGAAAAGCAGCAGGUUAAUACCCCGCUGUUCUGACGGUACCCAAAGAAUAAGCACCGGCUAACUUCGUG